AAACCUAGAUUUUUUAAAAGCCGCUAACUUUUAGAGUGACAUAGUCAAUUGGUUUA
rnacentral:tRNA from 1 species